AUAUUGCACAAUGGGCGAAAGCCUGAUGCAGCAACGCCGCGUGAGGGAUGACGGCNUUNNGGUUGNANACCUCUUUUAGUAGGNNNNNAGCGAAAGUGACGGUACCUGCACAAAGCCACGGCUAACUACGUGCUAGCAGCCGCGGUAAUACGUAGGUGGCAACCGUUGUCCGGAAUUAUUGGGCGUAAAGAGCUCGUAGGCGGGCAGUCGCGUCUGCUGUGAAAACCCGAGGCUCAACCUCGGGCCUGCAGUGGGUACGGGCUGACUAGAGUGCGGUAGGGGAGACUGGAAUUCCUGGUGUAGCGGUGGAAUGCGCAGAUAUCAGGAGGAACACCGAUGGCGAAGGCAGGUCUCUGGGCCGCAACUGACGCUGAGGAGCGAAAGCAUGGGGAGCGAACAG
rnacentral:rRNA from 1 species